rnacentral:rRNA from 1 species
UACGAAGGGGGCUAGCGUUGUUCGGAUUUACUGGGCGUAAAGCGCACGUAGGCGGAUCGUUAAGUCGGGGGUGAAAUCCUGGGGCUCAACCCCAGAACUGCCUUCGAUACUGGCUAUCUAGAGUCCGGAAGAGGUGAGUGGAACUCCUAGUGUAGAGGUGGAAUUCGUAGAUAUUAGGAAGAACACCAGUGGCGAAGGCGGCUCACUGGUCCGGUACUGACGCUGAGGUGCGAAAGCGUGGGGAGCAAACAGG